rnacentral:rRNA from 1 species
CAGGGAAUCUUCGGCAAUGGACGAAAGUCUGACCGAGCAACGCCGCGUGAGUGAAGAAGGUUUUCGGAUCGUAAAACUCUGUUGUUAGAGAAGAACAAGGACGUUAGUAACUGAACGUCCCCUGACGGUAUCUAACCAGAAAGCCACGGCUAACUACGUGCCAGCAGCCGCGGUAAUACGUAGGUGGCAAGCGUUGUCCGGAUUUAUUGGGCGUAAAGCGAGCGCAGGCGGUUUCUUAAGUCUGAUGUGAAAGCCCCCGGCUCAACCGGGGAGGGUCAUUGGAAACUGGGAGACUUGAGUGCAGAAGAGGAGAGUGGAAUUCCAUGUGUAGCGGUGAAAUGCGUAGAUAUAUGGAGGAACACCAGUGGCGAAGGCGGCUCUCUGGUCUGUAACUGACGCUGAGGCUCGAAAGCGUGGGGAGCAAACAGG